CAGAGCAUAGCUUAAAAAAGCGCUUCGCUUACACCGAACUGACGUCUGUUAAACCCAGCCUGCCCUGAG
rnacentral:tRNA from 1 species